rnacentral:rRNA from 1 species
UACGAAGGGGGCUAGCGUUUUUCGGAAUUACUGGGCGUAAAGCGCGUGUAGGCGGGCCGUUAAGUCGGGGGUGAAAGCCCAGAGCUCAACUCUGGAACUGCCUUCGAUACUGGCGGCCUGGAGCAUGAUAGAGGCGAGUGGAAUUGCGAGUGUAGAGGUGAAAUUCGUAGAUAUUCGCAGGAACACCAGUGGCGAAGGCGACUCGCUGGAUCAUUGCUGACGCUGAGACGCGAAAGCGUGGGGAGCAAAUAGG